rnacentral:rRNA from 1 species
GACGAACGCUGGCGGCGUGCCUAACACAUGCAAGUCGAACGGAACUUCUUUAAAGGAUUUCUUCGGAAUGAAUUUGAUUAAGUUUAGUGGCGGACGGGUGAGUAACGCGUGAGUAACCUGCCUCUAAGAGGGGAAUAACAUUCUGAAAAGAAUGCUAAUACCGCAUAAUAUAUAUUUAUCGCAUGGUAGAUAUAUCAAAGAUUUAUCGCUUAGAGAUGGACUCGCGUCCGAUUAGUUAGUUGGUGAGGUAACGGCUCACCAAGACCGCAAUCGGUAGCCGGACUGAGAGGUUGAACGGCCACAUUGGGACUGAGACACGGCCCAGACUCCUACGGGAGGCAGCAGUGGGGGAUAUUGCGCAAUGGGGGAAACCCUGACGCAGCAACGCCGCGUGAAGGAUGAAGGUCUUCGGAUUGUAAACUUCUUUUAUUAAGGACGAAGAAAGUGACGGUACUUAAUGAAUA